rnacentral:misc_RNA from 1 species
UUUCCGCAGGGCCUCGGACUCCCGCAGACCGCGGAAGGCGCGCAGGUAUGCAUGAACGUCGUCGGAGAGAACGCCCAGGAAGGCGUCACCUGGGUGCACUCGUAUUUCACGCCCGACCGCACCAAGAGCUUUUGCAUCUAUGACGGCCCGAGUCCGGACUCGAUCCGCAAGGCGGCGCAACGCACCAAGCUCCCGAUCGACAAGAUCACCGAAGUGCGCGUGCUCGAUCCGUACUUCUUCCGCGCCGAUUGAUCGCUCGCAUCGGCCUGCCGCCGUCGAAGGAUGACGAUGGCAGGCCGGGUGUGAUGGCUAGACGUUCCCGAUCCGCACGAUGCACAGGUCGGGCGCCGUCUCCGUGACCGCGAUCG